UGCAAGUCGAGCGGUAGCACAGAGAGCUUGCUCUCGGGUGACGAGCGGCGGACGGGUGAGUAAUGUCUGGGAAACUGCCUGAUGGAGGGGGAUAACUACUGGAAACGGUAGCUAAUACCGCAUAACGUCGCAAGACCAAAGUGGGGGACCUUCGGGCCUCAUGCCAUCAGAUGUGCCCAGAUGGGAUUAGCUAGUAGGUGGGGUAACGGCUCACCUAGGCGACGAUCCCUAGCUGGUCUGAGAGGAUGACCAGCCACACUGGAACUGAGACACGGUCCAGACUCCUACGGGAGGCAGCAGUGGGGAAUAUUGCACAAUGGGCGCAAGCCUGAUGCAGCCAUGCCGCGUGUGUGAAGAAGGCCUUCGGGUUGUAAAGCACUUUCAGCGGGGAGGAAGGCGAUAAGGUUAAUAACCUUGGCGAUUGACGUUACCCGCAGAAGAAGCACCGGCUAACUCCGUGCCAGCAGCCGCGGUAAUACGGAGGGUGCAAGCGUUAAUCGGAAUUACUGGGCGUAAAGCGCACGCAGGCGGUCUGUCAAGUCGGAUGUGAAAUCCCCGGGCUCAACCUGGGAACUGCAUUCGAAACUGGCAGGCUAGAGUCUUGUAGAGGGGGGUAGAAUUCCAGGUGUAGCGGUGAAAUGCGUAGAGAUCUGGAGGAAUACCGGUGGCGAAGGCGGCCCCCUGGACAAAGACUGACGCUCAGGUGCGAAAGCGUGGGGAGCAAACAGGAUUAGAUACCCUGGUAGUCCACGCCGUAAACGAUGUCGAUUUGGAGGUUGUGCCCUUGAGGCGUGGCUUCCGGAGCUAACGCGUUAAAUCGACCGCCUGGGGAGUACGGCCGCAAGGUUAAAACUCAAAUGAAUUGACGGGGGCCCGCACAAGCGGUGGAGCAUGUGGUUUAAUUCGAUGCAACGCGAAGAACCUUACCUGGUCUUGACAUCCACAGAACUUAGCAGAGAUGGAUUGGUGCCUUCGGGAACUGUGAGACAGGUGCUGCAUGGCUGUCGUCAGCUCGUGUUGUGAAAUGUUGGGUUAAGUCCCGCAACGAGCGCAACCCUUAUCCUUUGUUGCCAGCGGUUAGGCCGGGAACUCAAAGGAGACUGCCAGUGAUAAACUGGAGGAAGGUGGGGAUGACGUCAAGUCAUCAUGGCCCUUACGACCAGGGCUACACACGUGCUACAAUGGCAUAUACAAAGAGAAGCGACCUCGCGAGAGCAAGCGGACCUCAUAAAGUAUGUCGUAGUCCGGAUUGGAGUCUGCAACUCGACUCCAUGAAGUCGGAAUCGCUAGUAAUCGUAGAUCAGAAUGCUACGGUGAAUACGUUCCCGGGCCUUGUACACACCGCCCGUCACACCAUGGGAGUGGGUUGCAAAAGAAGUAGGUAGCUUAACCUUCGGGAGGGC
rnacentral:rRNA from 1 species